GCGGUACUCUGACCGUGCAAAGGUAGCAUAAUCAUUUGCCUUAUAAUUGAAGGCUCGUAUGAAUGGUUUGACAAGAAUAGAUCUGUCUCUUUAUAAUUAACUAAAAUUUUAUUUAUAGGUGAAGAAGCCUAUAUUAAAUUGAAAGACAAGAAGACCCUAUCGAGCUUUAAAGUAAUUAAUAAAACUAAAAUCAUAUAUAUAUUGAAUUAGUUAUUAAAAAUUUUAGUUGGGGCGACUAAGGAACAAACAAAGCUUCCUUGAAAUUUUAAUACUUGCAGGUUGUGAUCCAAAUGCUUUGAUUAAAGAAAUUAGUUACCGUAGGGAUAACAGCAUUAUCUUUUUUAAGAGCUCAAAUCGAAAAAAAGCUUUGUGACCUCGAUGUUGGACCAGAAUGUCCUAAAGAUGUAGCCGUCUUUAAGGGUUGGUCUGUUCGACCAUUAAAAUUCU
rnacentral:rRNA from 1 species